UUCCAUUCCAAAAAGGAGACUUCCUUUUGGAAUACAGAGGUAAACUCAUACCAAAAGAAGAAUGUGAGCGGAGACACAGAGUUUAUCAUGACAGCCUGAAGGUGUUCAUGUUUGAAUUCAAGUUUGAUGGAAAACUCUGGUGUGUGGAUGCAUCUCAAGAAGAUGGGUCAUUAGGCAGACUUGUCAACGACAACCACAUCAGUCCAAGUGCUAAAAUGAAAAUAUUAAAUAUCAAUGGAAAGCCCCAUCUAUGCUUAUUUGCAAGCAGAGACAUAAGUCCAGGCGAAGAAAUAGACUAUAAUUAUGGUGACUCGGAUUGGCCCUGGAGAUGCAAGGCUGAGACCAGCCAGAUUGAGAAGACUGUGAGCUGCCUAAAG
ensembl:lncRNA